CUGAUUCAAGUCGAUUAGCCAUAUAUUCGAAAUGGUUGACACACGAAAGUCGUUGACCGGUAGUCGUCGAGUAAACACAGAUUCAACAUCUCUAUCCGUCGAUUUCAGCAUCUCUAUCAGCAAACUUCAAUAUCUCCAUCAGCCGACGUCCACAUCUCCACGCGAUUUGAAAUAGCUGACACUAAAAAUUCAUCAAUGGAAGUUCAUCAAUCAGUGGAUAACAAGUUCAAUUAGGGGUGAAAUAUAAUCGUUUGCUGGUGGCUAAUUCGCAGCGGGUCGACAAAGCUAAUCUCGUGUGAAGUUCUUUUGCUGGUCGGCUUGAAGUACUUUUGAUAUUUGAGAGAUUACUCCAUCCUCUGGCCGAACGAUUCAGGUGAAUAAAACGCUGGAAAAAAAUCCUUUAACUCACAGCUAGGUGAGAAAUCAAAUUGGAGGAGCGAGAUGCAAAGUUUCAGGAGAUGUAGUUAAGGAAUGGUGACAUGUUGAUGAGGACAUUUGCGCAGUCUGUCCCCACGCCUAACAAAUGGGCGGUGCCUAAAAUCA